GGAAAUGAGGUCAUUAGACUGGGCCCUGAUCCAGUAUGACUGGUGUACUUAUUAGGGAAAUUUGGACACAGAGACAGGUGCACAUAGAAGGAAGACAUAGUGAAGACUGUUGAAAACAGACAAGAGGCCCCAAGUGGAGCCACUUAUGCUGAGCCCCAAGUCACGAAACCAAGACUUAAUUACAGUUUCGGCUCUCCCAGAAAUGGAAUCUUACACCAGUCAAUCAGGAAUAGCCUGACCAGCACCAGUCAGACGCACACAGGGAGAACACUACAUAAACUUGAAGGCAGAUAGCAAGGUGAUGCUUCUACAAGCCAAGGAACGCCAGAGAUUGCCUGUAAACCAUCAGAAGCUAGAAGAAAGGCAUGGAACAAAUCCUUCCAUCACAGUCCUCAGAGAGAACCAACUCUGCUGACACCUUGAUCUUGUUCUAACCUCCAGAAAAGAUGGAGGCUUCCUCAGCUGGAAACAGCUAAGCCCCAGGAUCCUUGGCAGCAGAGGGAAGAUAAGGAAGAUGUAAAAGUACCCCUUGAAGGGUCUUACACUGGAAUGCAUGCCCUGGUCCAGCUGCCCCCCAAUCUGUGUUGCUCCAGGUGCCACCCAGGCCACGCCGAGCUGCUGUGGGAAGAAGACCAUGGACGGGGCCAUUUUGAUUUCAUGUACUUGAUGAUUUUUAGCCAGAAUGUCUGUGAAUGAAAUUAUAACAGUUAGGUGAAUUAAACUGUUUUUAAAGCAAUGAUCCUUUUUCUCCCCCAGCAGAGUUUAAAGCUCAAGAAGGGAAUUUAUAUUUGGGCCAAUAAGAAGAAACCAAAGAAUUGAUAAGAAGCUUGGCAUGAGACCAAGGUCUUCCAGUCUUCCAAAGGCAAAAAACUAGAUUCUAAAAAGGAGCAGAGAGUUGCCAUUCUUUGGCAAUAUGCUCAUUUAAAAAUAAUAUUUCUUUUUCUGCCAAAACUGUUUUUCCAAAUUUGAGGAUUUUUGUAUCAAAUGCCCUUUAAAUUUCAAGUUUUUUUUUAAACAUUGCAAUAAAACUGGAGAGAUCUAUGGAUUUACCUUGAUUUUAAAGAAUAUAAUUUUGUGUUUCAUUCUGUAGUGAUACAUGCAGUUAUUACAGAGUGAAAAAUUGGAAAUUUGGUGUACAGUAUUUGGAUUUUUACACUAAAACCAAAAAUGCUAAAUACUAUGCAAAUGUGAUAAAACAUGGGAUUUCAGUUGCAAUUAAAGUGUAUUAUAAUGGGAAAAAAUAGUGUCUUUUAAGAAGGAAAUAGUUCUAGCAGGACCCUGGACUUAUAUGAAUCUAUAAAAUUUUCCUCUUGAACAUUCUGAGUAAGAUUCAUU